GAGAUUAUGGCUCAGUGGUUAAGAGCACUGACUGCUCUUCCAGAGGUCCUGAGUUCAAUUCCCAGCAACCACA
rnacentral:tRNA from 1 species